AUGAACGCUAGCUACAGGCUUAACACAUGCAAGUCGAGGGGCAGCAUUUUAGUUUGCUUGCAAACUGAAGAUGGCGACCGGCGCACGGGUGAGUAACACGUAUCCAACCUGCCGAUAACUCCGGAAUAGCCUUUCGAAAGAAAGAUUAAUACCGGAUAGCAUACGAAUAUCGCAUGAUAUUUUUAUUAAAGAAUUUCGGUUAUCGAUGGGGAUGCGUUCCAUUAGUUUGUUGGCGGGGUAACGGCCCACCAAGACUACGAUGGAUAGGGGUUCUGAGAGGAAGGUCCCCCACAUUGGAACUGAGACACGGUCCAAACUCCUACGGGAGGCAGCAGUGAGGAAUAUUGGUCAAUGGGCGAGAGCCUGAACCAGCCAAGUAGCGUGAAGGAUGAAGGCUCUAUGGGUCGUAAACUUCUUUUAUAUGGGAAUAAAGUUUUCCACGUGUGGAAUUUUGUAUGUACCAUAUGAAUAAGGAUCGGCUAACUCCGUGCCAGCAGCCGCGGUAAUACGGAGGAUCCGAGCGUUAUCCGGAUUUAUUGGGUUUAAAGGGAGCGUAGGUGGAUUGUUAAGUCAGUUGUGAAAGUUUGCGGCUCAACCGUAAAAUUGCAGUUGAAACUGGCAGUCUUGAGUACAGUAGAGGUGGGCGGAAUUCGUGGUGUAGCGGUGAAAUGCUUAGAUAUCACGAAGAACUCCGAUUGCGAAGGCAGCUCACUAGACUGUUACUGACACUGAUGCUCGAAAGUGUGGGUAUCAAACAGGAUUAGAUACCCUGGUAGUCCACACAGUAAACGAUGAAUACUCGCUGUUUGCGAUAUACAGUAAGCGGCCAAGCGAAAGCAUUAAGUAUUCCACCUGGGGAGUACGCCGGCAACGGUGAAACUCAAAGGAAUUGACGGGGACCCGCACAAGCAGUGGAUUAUGUGGUUUAAUUCGAAGCAACGCGAAGAACCUUACCAGGUCUUGACAUCGUAUGCAUAGCUCAGAGAUGAGUGAAAUCUCUUCGGAGACAUAUAGACAGGUGGUGCAUGGUUGUCGUCAGCUCGUGCCGUGAGGUGUCGGCUUAAGUGCCAUAACGAGCGCAACCCUUAUCUUUAGUUACUAACAGGUUAUGCUGAGGACUCUAGAGAGACUGCCGUCGUAAGAUGUGAGGAAGGUGGGGAUGACGUCAAAUCAGCACGGCCCUUACGUCCGGGGCUACACACGUGUUACAAUGGGGGGUACAGAAGGCGGCUACCUGGUGACAGGAUGCUAAUCCCAAAAACCUCUCUCAGUUCGGAUCGAAGUCUGCAACCCGACUUCGUGAAGCUGGAUUCGCUAGUAAUCGCGCAUCAGCCAUGGCGCGGUGAAUACGUUCCCGGGCCUUGUACACACCGCCCGUCAAGCCAUGAAAGCCGGGGGUACCUGAAGUACGUAACCGCAAGGAGCGUCCUAGGGUAAAACUGGUAAUUGGGGCU
rnacentral:rRNA from 1 species